rnacentral:rRNA from 1 species
AUUGAACGCUGGCGGCAUGCCUUACACAUGCAAGUCGAACGGUAACGCGGGGCAACCUGGCGACGAGUGGCGAACGGGUGAGUAAUAUAUCGGAACGUGCCCAGUAGUGGGGGAUAGCCCGGCGAAAGCCGGAUUAAUACCGCAUACGACCUACGGGUGAAAGCGGGGGAUCGCAGGACCUCGCGCUAUUGGAGCGGCCG